rnacentral:rRNA from 1 species
CCCGCCGGCCAUAGGCUCCGGGAAACGCCCGCUCUCGUCAGAUCGCGGAAGCUAAGCCGGAGACCGCCGCGGGGAGUACUAGGGUCUGCGGCCCUGGGAAACCCCGGUGCUGGCGGGC